rnacentral:tRNA from 1 species
GUCCCCGUAGUUCAAUGGAUAAAACAACUCCCUUCUAAGGAGUAGGUGCAGGUCCGAUUCCUGCCGGGGACACAA